AGAGUUUGAUCCUGGCUCAGGAUGAACGCUAGCGGCAGGCUUAACACAUGCAAGUCGAGGGGUAACAGGGAUUGCUUGCAAUCCGCUGACGACCGGCGCACGGGUGAGUAACGCGUAUGCAACCUACCUUCUACAGGGGGAUAGUCAAUAGAAAUGUUGAAUAAUACCCCAUACGAUCAUUAAUCCACAUAGAUUUUUGAAGAAAGCUCCGGCGGUAGAAGAUGGGCAUGCGUCCUAUUAGUUAGUUGGUAAGGUAACGGCUUACCAAGACUUCGAUAGGUAGGGGUCCUGAGAGGGAGAUCCCCCACACUGGUACUGAGACACGGACCAGACUCCUACGGGAGGCAGCAGUGAGGAAUAUUGGACAAUGGAGGCAACUCUGAUCCAGCCAUGCCGCGUGCAGGAUGACUGCCCUAUGGGUUGUAAACUGCUUUUAUACAGGAAGAAUUGUGCCUACGUGUAGGCAUUUGACGGUACUGUACGAAUAAGGAUCGGCUAACUCCGUGCCAGCAGCCGCGGUAAUACGGAGGAUCCAAGCGUUAUCCGGAAUCAUUGGGUUUAAAGGGUCCGUAGGCGGUCUUUUAAGUCAGAGGUGAAAUCCUGCAGCUCAACUGUAGCAUUGCCUUUGAAACUGAAAGACUUGAGUUAUUGUGAAGUAGUUAGAAUGUGUAGUGUAGCGGUGAAAUGCAUAGAUAUUACACAGAAUACCGAUUGCGAAGGCAGAUUACUAACAAUAUACUGACGCUGAGGACGAAAGCGU
rnacentral:rRNA from 1 species